rnacentral:rRNA from 1 species
UACGUAGGGAGCAAGCGUUUGUUUCGGAUUUACUGGGGCGUAAAGGGCGCGUAGGCGGCAUGGCAAGUGGAUGGUGAAAUCCCUCGGCUUAACCGAGGAACUGCCGUCCAAACUGCUUCGCUUGAGACCGGGAGAGGUGAGUGGAACUCCUAGUGUAGAGGUGGAAUUCGUAGAUAUUAGGGAAGAACACCAGUGGCGAAGGCGGCUCACUGGUCCGGUACUGACGCUGAGGUGCGAAAGCGUGGGGAGCAAACAGGGAU